rnacentral:rRNA from 1 species
UUGACGGUACUGUAAGAAUAAGGAUCGGCUAACUCCGUGCCAGCAGCCGCGGUAAUACGGAGGAUCCAAGCGUUAUCCGGAAUCAUUGGGUUUAAAGGGUCCGCAGGCGGUUUUUUAAGUCAGAGGUGAAAUCCUGCAGCUCAACUGUAGAAUUGCCUUUGAUACUGAAAGACUUGAGUUAUUGUGAAGUGGUUAGAAUGUGUGGUGUAGCGGUGAAAUGCAUAGAUAUUACACAGAAUACCAAUUGCGAAGGCAGAUCACUAACAAUAUACUGACGCUCAGGGACGAAAGCGUGGGUAGCGAACAGGAUUAGAUACCCUGGUAGUCCACGCCGUAAACGAUGGAUACUAGCUGUUUGUCUACCUCAGGUAGAUGUGUGGCUAAACGAAAGUGAUAAGUAUCCCACCUGGGGAGUAC